UACGGAAGGCAGCAGUAGGGAAUCUUCCGCAAUGGACGAAAGUCUGACGGAGCAACGCCGCGUGAACGAUGAAGGCUUUCGGGUCGUAAAGUUCUGUUGUUAGGGAAGAACAAGUACCGGAGUAACUGCCGGUACCUUGACGGUACCUAACCAGAAAGCCACGGCUAACUACGUGCCAGCAGCCGCGGUAAUACGUAGGUGGCAAGCGUUGUCCGGAAUUAUUGGGCGUAAAGCGCGCGCAGGCGGUCCUUUAAGUCUGAUGUGAAAGCCCACGGCUCAACCGUGGAGGGUCAUUGGAAACUGGGGACUUGAGUGCAGAAGAGGAGAGUGGAAUUCCACGUGUAGCGGUGAAAUGCGUAGAGAUGUGGAGGAACACCAGUGGCGAAGGCGACUCUCUGGUCUGUACUGACGCUGAGGCGCGAAAGCGUGGGGAGCGAACAGGGAUUAGAUACCCGU
rnacentral:rRNA from 1 species